AGCUCUUCUAUAGGCACCCUUCAGGUAUUGAAAGGCCACUAUAAGGUCUUCUCUUCUCUUCUCCAGGCUACAGGAUCUCUGUGCUGCUGCAGUGCUUUUAGUCCCAUUCCUCCAACAAGGCAAUGGAAAGCAAGAGUCAGUUGUUAACAACCGCUUAGGAAGACAAGAUGACAGGAAGAUAAAGGGAGAAUGCUCCAGGAGCUGAAAGAUGGAGGCCUUGAUCCAUUCUGAGAGCAGUGCUUUCUGCUAGAGAGGCUGAAGAUGUGUGCCGUGAGACAGAGACCUGCUGAGGCAAACUUCGAAAACAGCAAUAAUGAAGCGCCGAAGCAAGGUCUCUGCGACUGCAUCCGCGUGAACAAAUCUCCUGCCAAAUUCUCAGCACUGUUAUUAGCAAGAGCCCAAGUGGUGGAAUUCCCUGGAAAAGAAGAGAGUUUACACAGCACAGUGCAAAAACUCCCCGAGUCCUAACUACAGGGGAGCUCACCCCGUCGUUACCACUGGAUCAGCACUUAAUUAGCAGCUCAUGACUGUGCACGAUUUGUGUCCUUUAAUUUCUGUCAGCAGCAAGUCUGGGACUGAAAUGGCAGCAGAACUCUUUACAGGGUGAUUAGACAGCUCUGCAGAGAGCUGGAAGAUAGUUGCAGGGACGCUCUGUAGAUAUUUAAAGGUGCAACACAAAGGAAAAAAGAAGUAAAAUCAGGGUUUUGUUGCCACACACAUAGCUGUACCAUGCAGAGCCGGGCUGCUGGACUAUCACUAACAAGGCUGACAUGAAAGGAUGGGUGAGACUGUAAUCUUAAAAAGCCUGAGACUGAUGGUGAUUGUUGUAACUGUGUACACUGUGACAUGUUGGGCAGUACAGCCUCUGCUUCUCAAAUUGCAACAGGAAAAGCACUUGGGAAAGGGCAAAUAGUGACUGCAGCCUCACAAAGUACCUAGUGCUUUCCUCCCUGCAUUCUGGUUUUGAUUCCUUUUUUAUUUUUUUUUUUUUUCCCCUCAAAUGUGAAGUAUAAAACUAGCAGGUUUUUCAGAAGUCACGUGGCUCCUCUGGGAAAAUUAUAUUUGCAAUUCUCAACAUCAGUCACUGAAAGGUACAAAUACUCUGUCAAUCCUACCAGUGCUUUUGUAUAAAGGGAUGCUCCCUCUCCAUAUAUUCUUGUUUAUAUAGCUUCAUAAAUAUUCAAAUGCUUGGGGAAAAUGGGGUUGGAAAUGGGGGAGUACUUGUAAAGUAAAUAUAAAUUAAAAUAAACAUGAGGAAAUAGAAAGAGUUUAUAUUUAU
rnacentral:lncRNA from 1 species